UCUGAAUCCAGCGAUCCGAGUUC
rnacentral:piRNA from 4 species